rnacentral:rRNA from 1 species
CCGCGUGCAGGAUGAAGGCCCUAGGGUUGUAAACUGCUGUCACACUCUAGGAAUGGCGUACGGUGAAUAGUCGUGCGCUUGACCAAGGUGAAAGGAAGCACCGGCUAACUCCGUGCCAGCAGCCGCGGUAAGACGGAGGGUGCAAACGUUGUUCGGAAUCACUGGGCAUAAAGCGCACGUAGGCGGCGCGCUAAGUCAGGUGUGAAAGCCCCCGGCUCAACCGGGGAACUGCAUCUGAUACUGGCGUGCUCGAGGACGGUUGGGGUGAGUGGAACUCCUGGUGGAGCGGUGAAAUGCGUAGAUAUCAGGAGGAACACCGGUGGCGAAAGCGGCUCACUGGGCCGUCUCUGACGCUGAGGUGCGAAAGCUAGGGUAGCGAACGGGAUUAGAUACCCCGGUAGUCCUAGCCGUAAACGAUGGGCACUAGGCAGGGGGAAUGCCUAUGGUUUUCUCUGCCGUAGCAAAUGUGUUAAGUGCCCCGCCUGGGGAGUACGCUCGCAAGGGUA